rnacentral:rRNA from 1 species
UACGAGAGGCCCAAACGUUAUUCGGAUUUACUGGGCUUAAAGAGUUCGUAGGCGGCGCGGAAAGUAGGGUGUGAAAGCCCUCGGCUCAACCGAGGAAUUGCGCUCUAAACUACCGUGCUCGAGGAAGCUAGAGGUGAGCGGAACUGAUGGUGGAGCGGUGAAAUGCGUUGAUAUCAUCAGGAACACCGGAGGCGAAGGCGGCUCACUGGGGCUUACCUGACGCUGAGGCGCGAAAGCUAGGGGAGCAAACAGG